rnacentral:sRNA from 1 species
GUGUCCCAAUAUCACGCAAAGGUCAAGCAAAUUAUAUGACCUUUCUAGAAGAACUGACAGACGGUCUGUCUAGAAUGUUACUAGUGCGCGGUACUGGCAGUGAGGUGAUCACAGUGUACAACUGACCACAUGUCCCUGAGUCGAUAAAUAGUUUCAUUAUUUUUUUUUUUUAACUUGACCUGCAUGUUGACACAGCUAGUACAAUGAAUUAAAGGCAUGACAGAUUUCAAAAUAAUCUUUUUUUUUUUUGUACUGGAAUGAAAUAUUUAGAAUUUUUCUCGAUCGAAAUUUUAAUUAAGACAUUUUUUUUUUUGAACUUUCUAUUUGUUUUCUUGAGUGGGUUUAUUUGUUUGGAGUUUCGAAGAUGAAAGAGAAAUCUCAUUUGAUUGAGUGAAUGUCAAGGAAGCAGUGCAGUCAUAUUUGUUGAUAUUGUUUCUGUAGUCAUACAGUUUGGAACCAAUGAGAAAACAAUAAAUGAUUUUAUAAAUAAAUAUAUUUAUUUAA